GCGAUGGGGAGAAGGCAAGUUGUUAAACGUGUGAGCUUGGUGUCUGUCAAGAGGAUGUUGCGCUGGGAAAUGGGUCCAUGGAACCAUCCUGACAGGACCUGUGAUACCAGAACUCCCCAAAGACACCUUGAAAGUCUGGAUACAGCUGUUUUGUUGAACUAUGGCCACAGCAUCAAUGAGGUUUAUUUUUAAGAGUGAAAUGGAAAGUUGGAAGCACUGGGUCGAAACCUUUCCCAGGAACAGUGGUCACUUCCUGAAGACAUGGGAGGAGGAAUCAAAUUAAGUGCUUCUCUGAAAUUACUAAUCUUUCAGAGUUGCAUAGUCUUUUAACUACUGCAUAGAAAAUGGGUAUACACCAAUCAGUGACUUAUGAGCAUGAAUCUCUGUCGACAGUUAUCAGAACCACCCAAACCACAUAUAAAGCCUGAUUACUGCUGUGAGCAGAAGUCCACACUUUGACUUCUGUGGGUGAUAGGUAUGUACAUCAAAGAGCAUGAUCAAACCUAAGAAUGACAAACAGCAAUUAAUGCUGCAUCUUUAUUACAGUGGACCCGGUAUGAUCUUGAUUUUACAUCCGAACUAGGCUUCUGCUGUACAUGCAUUACUCUUCUGGAAAAAGAAGUCAACUCCUUCCUAUUUCUCGUCUUUCAAAGCCAGUGUUGCACAACCAAGCAUCCAGGCGUUGUAAUUCACGCUGUAGAACAUCCUACCCACUGAAAUGAAUGGGAACUCUAAUGAAACUGAGAUGUAAGGAUGGCAACAUCUACCUUAGAGUAAAAAUGGAAAUGCCAACUAUGCUGUUAAAAAAGGCCAUAAUAUACAUGAGAGAAGAACCAUGAGUCCUACCAUUAUGGUAUCUAUUAAACUUUACAGCAUUAAAA